GACAGAGGGUGCAAACGUUUGCUCGGAAUCACUGGGCGUAAAGGGCGUGUAGGCGGACUUGCAAGUCAGGCGUGAAAUCCCUGGGCUCAACCCAGGAAUUGCACUUGAAACUGCAAGCCUUUGAGUGUCGGAGAGGAAAGUGGAAUUCCUGGUGUAGAGGUGAAAUUCGUAGAUAUCAGGAGGAACACCGGUGGCGAAGGCG
rnacentral:rRNA from 1 species